UUCUUUGGCUACCUUUAGGAAGAAAAGUAGAGUUAAAGCAUUUAGCAACGAAUAGAUCAUAAUUUAUUAGUAGUCUGCAAAGUGCUUUAAGAAUUACAAGAAUUGCAAAGUCUCCGUCCAAAACAGACAUACUGCAAACUGUUGUAAAUGAACUCUACGCAGAGCGCAAACCAUCUGGUCGCAGAUUGAGUUGUCUUGGGCAUUUGUUUCGCGCUGAAGGUGAGUAGAGACAAAGCUAGAUCCUCCGAUCAGCGUUUAAUUCUUAACAUCUAAAGGUCUGUAUUUAUUCACAGCUCAGCUGUUUUCCAGCAUUGGGAGCCGGCUCUCUUUGGAGCACCUUUGAUAUUUCCCUACCCUUUUGAAGCCUGUUUGUUCUUCGGUGGCUUUGUGGGGAUGCUUAGAGCCAAGCUUAGAAGAACGUAUCAUUAAUAUAUACCUUGGCUCCGAAGCAGAGAGGUUGAGACUUGAAAGCAAUGGCAAAUAUUGGCAAUUUGUAAUAACGUCAGAACUUGUAAUGAAACGGUGCGUUACAGAGUGCCUCUCUUUCUGCCAAUUCUAGUCCAGGGCCAACUUGAACUCCCAAAAGUCCCAAAGAAGAUUGAAACAAACUGGGAGUGACCAGACAGUUUGGAAAUACCGGUUUUAAAAACAUUAAAUAGUGAAAGGAGGUGCUUGAACCUAUUUAAAAGUUGAAUUGACUUGCCGAGAAGCCCUCUUGGCAUCUCUGAUGGGAAUCCACCAAGAAUUAGGGUCACAAAAGCGGCUUGACUUAGGCUGCGUCCGGAGAAGUAGUUUGACACUACUUUAACUGCCAUGGGGUUUGCAAUUUGAGCCCUCUUUGGGAGAGAGGCUAAAGAUCUCACCAAACUACACAUCCUAGAACGGCUUCGACAAAGACAACGACGUUUUUGUUGAAUCUUAAGUAUUGCUUGCCCUUUAAUAACAUCUCAAAUGAGAUGCUUGAGGCAGUGGCCUCACUUUUCUUAAUGGAAGGGCUAUCAGAAACAUAUAAGAAGGCACACCUUGGAUAGGAAAAGGAUGGAUGGAUGGAUGGAUGGAUGGAUGGAUGGAUGGAUAGUGCGUCAUGACCCCAAUAUUUCUGUUGGAGGCGUUUGAGAGAAAUACAGGGCCGGAGAAUAUGGUCUCAUUCUCCUGGAGCGAAAUGGUAAAUGGAUACUUUGGGUAAAACUGAUUAAAAACAUAAAGCAACCCUGCAGCCCUAAUGCCAUUACCCCCCUGCUGCUAAAUGCCAGCCAAAGCAAUACAGUUGCGCAAAUCUAGUCCUCCAUCUCAUCUCGUUCUCAUCACGACUAGGACCCUAUUAUCCCAUUAUUAUUUUUAUUACAAUUAAAAACAAAACUUGCUUUUUUAACGUCGGAUGCCCUUUGUGCCUUUUCCAGAGAGACUUGCCCACCUGCUACACAUGGUAAUGGUUCUUCAAAGGGAUCCUGGGGUUCUGUGGGACUCGAUUUGAAAACUACCGUUCUGGAAAGUGGGAUAAGACAAAGGCAUUGUGGUGUACCUGUUAGUGUGUUGGUCAGUGAUUUAAAAGAGAGUAAAUAACAACAAUAAAGCUGGACACGGAGGAUCUCGCAUGUGACACACAAUGCCGCGUCUGGCACAGGAGGAGAAGAAUCCGUAACGCGAAAUCGAUCCGGUAUCUCCAUCUCUCUCUCCUCCCUACUUCUGUCCCAGCAGCCAGUUGUUUCCACUUUGCGCACAUCCAUUCUCACAACCGGCCGCCCCCGAGACUUAAAGGGCAAUGUUAGUCAAGAUACCCAUCAUCACAUCCCAGAAAGCGGGAGAGACUCAACACUUACUAAUGGGGCAGCUGAAAGUUUUCCAAACCGGGGCUCUGUAGUAAGCAGGUUCAUGAGAGAGUGUCAAGGCAUGUCAGGUUGACUCAGGCCUUACUGGAAAGCAAGAACCAACCCCAGGGUUACUGCGGACGUACAGAUCGGCUUGUCGGCUGAGCCACUGCUGGCAGGCGUUGCUGUCCUGGAUGUACAGCAGGACUUCGGAGAGCAUGGUGCGCUUCAGCCGCUCCUCCUCGCGCGUUUUCUUGAGCCGGUCGUACGCUCUCGCGCCUGGGGCAACAAAACGCAGGACUGCAAGACACAGAAAGCUGCAUUCUUGGAUGGCUAGAGAACAAGGAUUCAAGAUGACGACAUGCGCGCGCAAUGGUUUCACAUCCUGCCGGAUGCUCCCUCGCAACAUACUAAGAUAAGGAGUUUGGAACAUCAUGCAGAUAGCAAACCUGAUUGAAAUAGCAAAAGGCAGCACAAGACCACUCUAAUCUUUAUGCAAUGUGGUGCAAAUGACUUGGUUACACAACACAUCUCCUCCUUUUUGGAUUUUUGGAGAGCGACACCAUCGUAGCUCCUGGUUUUUGCAGAGAUACUCCAUCAUAGCUAUUGACAUUAUGUGGGCUGACUAUCGGAACUGAAUAGCUGUGAGUCACACAUCUGUACACUUCACUGUACAAAUCAGGUACUUUGUUGGCUUGUUGUGUUUGUCUGUGCGCCAAGCGCCAAUGUUGUCUGAUAAAGCAGCCAUUCAAAUUGCUGCUCAGUCCCACCUCUUCCAUUUUAGUUCCCUGCAAUCUGUUGCAUUUUAACCUUCACUGUUAAAAUCUGACUCCAUCUGACCUCCCUUUAUACAUAAACGGAACAGACUCACGAAUAACCAACACAACUGCCCUCAUUUACAUCAGGUUUCAUCCUCGGAAAUGGCUGUUUCACAAAAACCUUACAGUUCAACAAGGCACACUCAGUUUGGAAGAGAAAGAGUUUGGGACUCACCUUUUCCUCCGUUGCCUUUCCUUCAGCCUAGAAUGAUAGAUGUCUACAACUGCGAUCUUCAAAGCUGCGAAAGUUUGGGAAGAACAGAGACCAAAGGGAUAAACCCCUCACAUUAGGGAAUUGACGCCAAAGGUAUCUCACAAAUCCCCACAACAACAACAACAACAGCAGCCGGUUCUCACUGCAGCAUGCAAAACAACCCCAACUUAGUAACGCGUCGAGGGGAAACAGACAUUGUUUUUGACGACGACAAAUUCGAACUCACCGUGUAAAAGGUCUGAGUCGUCCUCCACAAAAUCUAUAUCCCUUAAAUCCCAUUCGGCGUAAUUGUCAAACUCCUGUGGAAAUUAGAUGUUCAAAAACAGGGAAGGGAAGAGGAGGGCUUGUGAUGGUCAAGAAGACACAAAAUGAAGCAAAAAACCCUAUCCAUCCAUCCAUCCUAAUCGUCGCCAUCGUCCAAAACAUGUUAAAAAACCCUAUCCAUCCUAUUUCAUUCCAGUAGAAAAAGCAAUAGUGAUCCCAGAGAGACUCUUGUGUUGCACAGAGAGGCGGGAUAUAAAUAAAUAUUAUUAUUAUUAUUAUCAUUAUCAUCAUUAUUAUUACUACUAUUCCUACCUCAAUGAAGUCUGCCCUGGCUGGCAUGUAUCCAGCCAUAUCCCUGGAGAGCAAGGAAUCAAAGGUCGGUCGUGGAGGAUCUUCAGAAGCUGGGGGGAAAUGCAACACAUAUUUGGGGUGUCAAAGGCUUGUGAAGAGCGCAUGCCCUGCAGAUUUUGCCCUUCAUUCCUUUACUUGAGCGCAUCCCUUUGAAGGCCCCUUUGUUAGACCCAAAACGAGAGAAUGAGAUGUCCUGGAUCCUACCUUGGGAUGGACACUUACAGUAAAA